GUGCGCCGGCCUCGGAGAGCGGGCGUCCCCUAGCUAUGCCUCCCAGAGGGAGGCUUCCGAACUACAGUUCCCGUCGUCCUACGCGGGCGCCGGGUUGGCUCCGGCUCUUUUCCGAGAGAGGCUGGUUCCUAUUUUAAAUCCAGGCAGCGAUCAAAAUGGCGGCGUCGAGCUGAGCGCGAGAGGCGGAGGAGAGAGGCUCUCGGCGGUGUGUUUCCUCCAUCUCUCCCGAAGGUUGUACAUUGGUUUGUCUUGAAGUUCUUCCUUUUGAAUAAGAAACAACACUGAAAAGCUCCAUAAGUGUUCUUUCUUGAGGCAGAUGGUUGGAAGUGGUAAUGCCAUUAAUCUUAUGUAACUGGGUAUGGAUUCAACUGCUUGAUAACAUUAAUAACUUUCAAAUUGGACUCCAUGGGAGGUAAAUAAUAUUACGAUCAAGAAUUUAUAUCAUAGAUGUGAACAGGACUGUCAAUUUCAAAUUCUAUAAUCAAGCAAUUUACCAUUCCAGUCCACUGCUUUCUUCUCUUUUCUAGUGGAAGUUUUGAAAUGCAAUUAGAAUUUUGAGGAAAACUGUAUAGAAAGUAAUGAACGUGGUAACCUUUGGAGAAGCUUUUGCUAAAAGCUUAAGUCUUGAUUCAUAUGAUAAAUGAGGGCAUUUAAUCCACAUUUUUUCAUUUUUCUACACUCUUUAAAAAGUAAAGAAAAUGGGAGUUUUAAUACCAAGUCUCUUUUAAUACUGGCUCAUAUUAUGCAGGAAAUUUCCCCAUAAUUAAAAAUAAAACUUAUUCAACAUACAAAGAAAAUAAUAUCUUGGCAUAAGUUGUUAGUACUGAAGCAUAGUGAUCACGUCAAACUCUAAUCCAGGAGGCAUCUCAAAAGUGGCAAUACUCAGCGAAGGCUUGUUGUGGCAGGGAGUGAUUUUUAUCAACUUAGAUUGGUAAAUUAGCUGUACAUAAUAUUGAACAGGAAGGACAUUUUUAUGUGUACUGUGAUGUGUUGUGUAUAAAGGUGCAUUUAACUGAUUUUUAGGCUUUUAAUUGGGAAGACUUCUUGAGAAUGUAAAUUUCACUGGCAACUGGUUUGUUUCUAAACCCAAUUCGGGAUGCUGUGUUUGAUUUCAGAAGCACCAUUGGGCUAGAAUCUAUGUGCAAAUAAUCAUGGAUUGAUACAUUUUGAUAGUCUUUACUAAGCAGUUGCUGCUAGCCCCACUCCCCUGUGUAGGGUUUAUUUCUGACCUAAUAGUUAUUGUGUGCCUUCAAGUCCGUUCCAUCAUAGGGGGGGUUUUAAAGCAGGAUUUAUUCAGAAGAGGCUAGUUGUUGGCUUCCUCUCUUCCAAUUACUAACCACUACAGACUAUGUUCAGCUUCUGAUAUCAGAUCUGUUAUGUUUAGACAUCUUUCUGAUCUAAUACUGUGUCACCAGUGUAGCAUGAGAUCAAGAUGAAUCUACUUUUCAGUUGAAACAAUGGGAGCAAGU
rnacentral:lncRNA from 1 species